rnacentral:rRNA from 1 species
CGACGCGUUGGCCCAAUUGAUUGACGGUGCUUGCACCUGAUUGAUUUUCCCCUUAACGAGUGGCGGACGGGUGAGUAACACGUAGGUAACCUGCCCUGAAGCGGGGGACAACAUUUGGAAACAGAUGCUAAUACCGCAUAACAACGUUGUUCGCAUGAACAACGCUUAAAAGAUGGCUUCUCGCUAUCACUUCUGGAUGGACCUGCGGUGCAUUAGCUUGUUGGUGGGGUAACGGCCUACCAAGGCGAUGAUGCAUAGCCGAGUUGAGAGACUGAUCGGCCACAAUGGGACUGAGACACGGCCCAUACUCCUACGGGAGGCAGCAGUAGGGAAUCUUCCACAAUGGGCGCAAGCCUGAUGGAGCAACACCGCGUGAGUGAAGAAGGGUUUCGGCUCGUAAAGCUCUGUUGUUAAAGAAGAACACGUAUGAGAGUAACUGUUCAUACGUUGACGGUAUUUAACCAGAAAGUCACGGCUAACUACGUGCCAGCAGCCGCGGUAAUACGUAGGUGGCAAGCGUUAUCCGGAUUUAUUGGGCGUAAAGAGAGUGCAGGCGGUUUUCUAAGUCUGAUGUGAAAGCCUUCGGCUUAACCGGAGAAGUGCAUCGGAAACUGGAUAACUUGAGUGCAGAAGAGGGUAGUGGAACUCCAUGUGUAGCGGUGGAAUGCGUAGAUAUAUGGAAGAACACCAGUG